rnacentral:rRNA from 1 species
GACGAACGCUGGCGGCGUGCUUAACACAUGCAAGUCGAACGGAAAGGCCCUGCUUUUGUGGGGUGCUCGAGUGGCGAACGGGUGAGUAACACGUGAGUAACCUGCCCUUGACUUUGGGAUAACUUCAGGAAACUGGGGCUAAUACCGGAUAGGAGCUCCUGCUGCAUGGUGGGGGUUGGAAAGUUUCGGCGGUUGGGGAUGGACUCGCGGCUUAUCAGCUUGUUGGUGGGGUAGUGGCUUACCAAGGUUUUGACGGGUAGCCGGCCUGAGAGGGUGACCGGCCACAUUGGGACUGAGGUACGGCCCAGACUCCUACGGGAGGCAGCAGUGGGGAAUAUUGCACAAUGGGCGGAAGCCUGAUGCAGCAACGCCGCGUGCGGGAUGACGGCCUUCGGGUUGUAAACCGCUUUCGCCUGUGACGAAGCGUGAGUGACGGUAAUGAGUAAAGAAGCACCGGCUAACUACGUG